rnacentral:rRNA from 2 species
UUGGGCCUAAAGCAUCCGUAGCUCGUUUUGUAAGUUUUCGGUUAAAUCCAUACGCUUAACGUAUGGGCUGCCGGGAAUACUGCAUAACUAGGAAGUGGGAGAGGUAGACGGUACUCGGUAGGAAGGGGUAAAAUCCUUUGAUCUAUUGAUGACCACCUGUGGCGAAGGCGGUCUACCAGAACACGUUCGACGGUGAGGGAUGAAAGCUGGGGGAGCAAACCGGAUUAGAUACCCGGGUAGUCCCAGCUGUAAACUAUGCAAACUCAGUGAUGCAUUGGCUUGUGGCCAAUGCAGUGCUGCAGGGAAGCCGUUAAGUUUGCCGCCUGGGAAGUACGUACGCAAGUAUGAAACUUAAAGGAAUUGGCGGGGGAGCACA